rnacentral:rRNA from 1 species
UAGGGAAUCUUCCACAAUGGACGAAAGUCUGAUGGAGCAACGCCGCGUGAGUGAAGAAGGGUUUCGGCUCGUAAAACUCUGUUGUUAAAGAAGAACAUAUCUGAGAGUAACUGUUCAGGUAUUGACGGUAUUUAACCAAAAGCCACGGCUAACUACGCGCCAG